rnacentral:rRNA from 1 species
GAUGAACGCUAGCUACAGGCUUAACACAUGCAAGUCGAGGGGAAACGAUAGAGAAAGCUUGCUUUUUCUAGGCGUCGACCGGCGCACGGGUGAGUAACGCGUAUCCAACCUGCCCAUCACUUGGGGAUAACCUUGCGAAAGUAAGACUAAUACCCAAUGGUAUCUCUAGAAGACAUCUGAAGGAGAUUAAAGAUUUAUCGGUGAUGGAUGGGGAUGCGUCUGAUUAGCUUGUUGGCGGGGUAACGGCCCACCAAGGCGACGAUCAGUAGGGGGUCUGAGAGGGAGGUCCCCCACAUUGGAACUGAGACACGGUCCAAACGCCUACGGGAGGCAGCAGUGAGGAAUAUUGGUCAAUGGGCGAGAGCCUGAACCAGCCAAGUAGCGUGCAGGAUGACGGCCCUAUGGGUUGUAAACUGCUUUUAUAAGGGAAUAAAGUGAGUCUCGUGAGGCUUUUUGCAUGUACCUUAUGAAUAAGGACCGGCUAAUUCCGUGCCAGCAGCCGCGGUAA